CCCUUGUGGAGGAGGACGCCGAAGGUGGGGCUAAUGACUGGGGUGAAGUCGUAACAAGGUAGCCGUACCGGAAGGUGCGGCUGGAUCACCUCCUAACAGGGAGACAACAAAAUGUUAAAUAUUAAUUUUGUCACCUUAGGUCGAUCGGUAUCUCACAUUCUUGAUUUAUUCAAGGAUUUUAUUUCCUAAGUUUUUUCUAGGUCACACCCAUUACUUUCCCUGGGCCAUUAGCUCAGGUGGUUAGAGCGCACCCCUGAUAAGGGUGAGGUCCCUGGUUCAAGUCCAGGAUGGCCCAUAUCUCUAUGUUGGGGGUAUAGCUCAGUUGGUAGAGCGCCUGCUUUGCAAGCAGGAUGUCAGCGGUUCGAGUCCGCUUACCUCCACUGAUCACCACCUCUUCCAUAAUUUAUAGAAGGGAAUUGUUUUGAGAUGUGAUCAAAUUCUGAACGAAUCUAGCUUCCUAAUCAAAUUUAUUAAGAUGCUGGACUCAUUGAAUUAACUUCAUUGUUUUCAGAGAACCUUGACAACUGCAUAGAUUAUUUUUAAAGACAAUAAGCAUCUUUAAUGAUGCAGAUUUAUUAUUUGUGCGAAUGCAUUAAUAACAAUUCUAUUGAGCUGAUGCUUCAAAUUUUUGAAGUUAUUGGUCAAGCUACAAAGGGCUCACGGAGGAUACCUAGGC
rnacentral:misc_RNA from 1 species